UGGGGAAUAUUGCACAAUGGGCGCAAGCCUGAUGCAGCCAUGCCGCGUGUGUGAAGAAGGCCUUCGGGUUGUAAAGCACUUUCAGCGAGGAGGAAGGUGGUGAGCUUAAUACGCUCAUCAAUUGACGUUACUCGCAGAANAAGCACCGGCUAACUCCGUGCCAGCAGCCGCGGUAAUACGGAGGGUGCAAGCGUUAAUCGGAAUUACUGGGCGUAAAGCGCACGCAGGCGGUUUGUUAAGUCAGAUGUGAAAUCCCCGGGCUCAACCUGGGAACUGCAUUUGAAACUGGCAAGCUAGAGUCUCGUAGAGGGGGGUAGAAUUCCAGGUGUAGCGGUGAAAUGCGUAGAGAUCUGGAGGAAUACCGGUGGCGAAGGCGGCCCCCUGGACGAAGACUGACGCUCAGGUGCGAAAGCGUGGAGAGCAAACAGGAUUANAUACCUGGUAGUCCACGCUGUAAAACGAUGUCGAUUUUGGAGGUUGUGCCCUUGAGGCGUGGCUUCCGGAGCU
rnacentral:rRNA from 1 species